CAGUCGCCGCGGGAAUACGAAGGGGGCUAGCGUUGCUCGGAAUGACUGGGCGUAAAGCGCACGCAGGCGGUUUGUUAAGUCAGAUGUGAAAUCCCCGAGCUUAACUUGGGAACUGCAUUUGAAACUGGCAAGCUAGAGUCUUGUAGAGGGGGGUAGAAUUCCCGGUGUAGCGGUGAAAUGCGUAGAGAUCGGGAGGAACAUCAGUGGCGAAGGCGGCCAUCUGGGACAACACUGACGCUGAGGCACGAAAGCGUGGGGAGCAAACAGGAUUAGAUACCCCCGUAGUCCCUGUCUCUUAUAC
rnacentral:rRNA from 1 species